rnacentral:tRNA from 1 species
AAAUAAGAAACAAAUUAUUGUAUUUAGUUUCGACCUAAAAUUCUGGUGCGGGGGGGCACCCUUAUUUA